rnacentral:tRNA from 1 species
UUCAGGGUAGCCUAGUGGACAUGGCAUCUGCCUGGUAGGUGGGACACUGUGGGUUCGAUUACCAUCCCUGGAC